CAGUCGCCGCGGUAAUACGGAGGGUGCAAGCGUUAAUCGGAAUUACUGGGCGUAAAGCGCACGCAGGCGGUCUGACAAGUCAGAUGUGAAAUCCCCGGGCUUAACCUGGGAACUGCAUUUGAAACUGUCAGGCUGGAGUCUUGUAGAGGGGGGUGGAAUUCCAGGUGUAGCGGUGAAAUGCGUAGAGAUCUGGAGGAAUACCGGUGGCGAAGGCGGCCCCCUGGACAAAGACUGACGCUCAGGUGCGAAAGCGUGGGGAGCAAACAGGAUUAGAGACCCGUGUAGUCCCUGUCUCUUAUCC
rnacentral:rRNA from 1 species